rnacentral:rRNA from 1 species
GAUCAUGGCUCAGGAUGAACGCUGGCGGCGUGCCUAACACAUGCAAGUCGAACGGACUUUUCAUGAAGCCUAGCGAUUGAAAAGUUAGUGGCGGACGGGUGAGUAACGCGUGGGUAACCUGCCUUGUACUGGGGGACAACAGUUGGAAACGGCUGCUAAUACCGCAUAAGCGCACAGCUUCGCAUGAAGCGGUGUGAAAAACUCCGGUGGUACAAGAUGGACCCGCGUCUGAUUAG